UUUUUUUUUUUUUUGUCUUUUUAGGGCCACACCCAUGGCAUAUGGGGAUUCCCAGGCUAGGGGUAGAAUUGGAACUGAACUUCCAUAUACCACAUGCACGGCCAGUAAAGUGCGUCUGGAGGGUCCCGUCUGGGUAAGGGACUCAGUAGAGCCCUUGCCUUGGAGCAGGUAUUGAAGAUGAGUAGGACUUCGACAGGCAGAAAUGCGAGGGAAUGUAUUCCAGGCAGAGGCAGUGGAAUCAGGAAAGACAGAGGUGGGGAAAGGGUGUCAUUUUCAGGCAACUAUGCAAUCAGAGUGGACAGACCAGAGAGCACAGGUAGAGGAUAGAGCAGAAGACAUACCUGGAGAGACACGAUGGGAAAAAACCAGGGUCACCUUGGGUCACCUCUAGGAGACACUCUGCCUUCUUUCUUCUUUCCCCUUCCAAGACCACCUGACAUUUAAUGGCUUUGCAUGCAUCCUGCCUCACCUUUUCUGGAAGCUUAGACUCCUUAAGAGCAAGGAGCUUGUCUCCAUGCAUACCCCGCCAUCAGCAAAUAUUGACAGUCAUACGAAAGAACUUGGAGAUGAUUCGAUGUGCAAUGGGAAACCACUGAAGAGUCUUGUUCAGCUGUCCCUGAAAGAUUACUUUGGCAACAACAUGUAGGCUGGAUUGGAAGAGAUUAAGAUGCUACCUCAAAAGUCUGGGCAGAAACGAAAGGCUUGACUUAUGUAGCAUUAACAAAGGGGACACGGGGGUGGCUGAGGCCUGCCUGGGGCAGAGUGGACGCCACUUUAGGCAACACCUGAGUGCGACCACAGCACCCCAUGCACCCACUGUAUACCCACUUUCCGAAGCCAGAAAUCUGGAUGUCUUUCCCCACGAUCCCUCCAGCCUAUCAUUUAGCCUGUCAGUUUCACCUGAUGUGUCCCCUCCCUCCCUGGUAACAUACCUGCUUCAGGCCCCUAGCACCUCCCGCCCUGCUUCUCUGCCCCAGCGAGUUGCCCAGGAAAUUCCUUCUCAGUAGUGUUGCCAGAGUUGUCCACCCAACGCGGAAUCUGACCGUGUUACUCUCUUCCGUAAAACCACUCAGCAGAGCCCCAGGACCCUGAGGAUAACCCUGCGUGUCUCAGGACAACAUACAAAGCCUCUCAAGAUCUAGCCCCUGCCUACUGCUCUAGACCAAAUUCCUGCCAACCCCUAUUUCCAGAUUCUCCAGGCUUAUGCUCCAAUAACCAGCCAGUCCUGCGUUCACACGCUCCCAGGCCAACCCAGGUGAUCCUGCUGCUUCGAGCUCUCCCAUCUCUCCUGCCACCACACCUUUCUCAGCUCCAUAUUUAAUACCAAAGCCUCUCCUUUUACCACCCAGCCUGCCUUGUGCCUAUCUCAUUGCUAUUCAUAUAUUCCACCUCCCUCACUAUACUGUUGUGUCCUUGAGGACAGAAACUCACCAUGUCACCUCUAAGUCCCCAGUGCCUGCUCUUCACAAAGUAGACACACAGAUGGACAGACGGAUGGGUGGAUGAAUAGACAGACAAAAUACGAAGAAACAACUGAAUUGCUGAGCUGGGGAGAGAAGGGAAUCAGGGAGGCAGAAGGAACGAUGGAGUGAGAAAGAAUUCAGAGAUAACUUCAAGGUAUCAAUGAACCUGAAGAAGUUGGAUCUUCAUUAUGAAAAUUGGGAAGAAGGGAAGCAACACUCGGGGGAAGGGGUAGAAAGAUGAAUUCAUCUGCAAUGUAUGAUGAGUGAGUGAGUGACUAUGAGAGGGAAAAAGCUUUUAUGAAGGCAAAACCUAACUGCUAAAAGUUUAAGGGGGCCGGAAAUUAGAUAUACAACCUGAAACAAUGUUGAUUCCAGAGAGCUUCAGUACUACAGAAAAUAAGGAAAUCCUAUUUUUAUUUAUUUAUUUUUUAAGCAUAGUAUUUCUUUAUUAGUUUACGGCCACACCCACUGCAUACAGAGGUUCCAGGUUAGGGUCAAAUCAGAGCUGCAGCUGCUGGCCUAUACUCACAGCAACGCUGGAUCCUUAGCCCACAGCAACACUGGAUCCUUAGCCCAUUGAGUGAGGCCACAGCAACACUAGAUCCUUAGCCCACUGAGCGAGGCCAGGGAUUGAACCCGAAUCCUCAUGGACACUAUGUAGUGUUCUUAACCUGCUGAACCACAAUGAGAACUCCAGGAAAUUCUAAUUAAAAAACAAAACAAAACAAAACUGCAUUCAGAGGAAAAUUGCCCACUCCUUUGAGCGGCUCAAGGUGAGGACAGCUCAAUCCCUCUGGCUACAGUAAGUGCUUCUUAAAGCAUCAAGAGCUUCAAGGGAAAGUUUCUGGGAGUCCUUUUCUCUUGUCAUGGCCCAGGAUCCCAGGGGUCUUGAGCAGGGAAUGGACUCGGUGCUUGGAGGCAUGAAAGAGACUCAUUAUGACAGAAGGGAGGGGGGAGGAGAACCCACAAAAAGUGGAUUGGCCACUCUGUUCCCAAGGGCAGGGGGCCCUGGGGUCAGUUGCAAACUCUGGAACAGCCAACAGCCCGUUCUAGAAACUUGAAACUCCCACUAGUUAAGGGUGCCGUCUCUGCAUCAGAAACAGAAGACCCUGCACUGGGAAAGUCAGCCCUUCUUCCAAAGCAGGUGCUGGCGACAGGGGGUGGGCACAAGGUGCGCUGCUGGCCCUGUCCCCCUGGCACGGACCCUGGCCCAUCAGGUAGGAAUAGCCUUCUCGAAGGCUGGGACCUAAAUUCCUCCUCCUACUAGCCGCUUGGGGCCAGUGCUGCCUCCAUGACCUGGGGCCAGUGCUUGGCUUCGUGUUCUGCAGAGCUCCCUUGACUUUGCACUAAGCCUUGCAAAUUAUGCAGCCAGUUCUGAUUCAGAGCAUUUCUCUCCAGAGUGGGUGAAACAGCUCUUGCUUCACUGUCGGGGGAGGCUCUCUGUCUCCUGCAGGGGAGAUCAGUGUGCUGGCGGCAUUCACAUUUUUGAGCUUAAAAAAGGCUCCACAGGAGUUCCCGUCGUGGCGCAGUGGUUAACGAAUCCAACUAGGAACCAUGAGGUUGCAGGUUCGGUUCCUGCCCUUGCUCAGUGGGUUAACAAUCCGGCGUUGCCGUGAGCUGUGGUGUAGGCUGCAGACGCGGCUCGGAUCCCGCGUUGCUGUGGCUCUGGCGUAGGCCAGUGGCUGCGGCUCCGAUUCGACCCCUAGCCUGGGAACCUCCAUAUGCCACAGGAGCGGUCCAAAGAAAUAGCAAGAAGNNNNNNNNNNNNNNAAAAAAAAAAAAAAAAAAAAAAAAAAAAAAG
rnacentral:lncRNA from 1 species